AUUGAACGCUGGCGGCAGGCUUAACACAUGCAAGUCGAGCGGGGAAGUAUAGCUUGCUAUACGACAUAGCGGCGGACGGGUGGGUAAUGCUUAGGAAUCUGCCUAUUAGUGGGGGACAACAUUCCGAAAGGAACGCUAAUACCGCAUACGCCCUACGGGGGAAAGCAGGGGAUGUUCGGACCGUGCGCUUAUAGAUGAGCCCAAGUCAGAUUAGCUAGUUGGUGGGGUAAAGGCCUACAAAGGCGACGAUCUGUAGCGGGUCUGAGAGGAUGGUCCGCCACACUGGGACUGAGACACGGCCCAGACUCCUACGGGAGGCAGCGGUGGGGAAUAUUGGACAAUGGGCGAAGCCUGAUCCAGCCAUGCCGCGUGUGUGAAGAAGGCCUUUUGGUUGUAAAGCACUUUAAGCGAGGAGGAGGCUACCGAGAUUAAUACCCUUGGAUAGUGGACGUUACUCGCAGAAUAAGCACCGGCUAACUCUGUGCCAGCAGCCGCAGUAAAAC
rnacentral:rRNA from 1 species